AUUGAACGCUGGCGGCAGGCUUAACACAUGCAAGUCGAGCGGGGUGAUGGUGCUUGCACUAUCACUUAGCGGCGGACGGGUGAGUAAUGCUUAGGAAUCUGCCUAUUAGUGGGGGACAACAUCUCGAAAGGGAUGCUAAUACCGCAUACGUCCUACGAGGGAAAUCAGGGGAUCACUUGUGACCUUGCGCUAAUAGAUGAGCCUAAGUCGGAUUAGCUAGAUGGUGGGGUAAAGGCCUACCAAGGCUACGAGCUGUAGCGGGUCUGAGAGGAUGAUCCGCCACACUGGGACUGAGACACGGCCCAGACUCCUACGGGAGGCAGCAGUGGGGAAUAUUGGACAAUGGGGGGAACCCUGAUCCAGCCAUGCCGCGUGUGUGAAGAAGGCCUUAUGGUUGUAAAGCACUUUAAGCGAGGAGGAGGCUCUUUUGGUUAAUACCCAAGAUGAGUGGACGUUACUCGCAGAAUAAGCACCGGCUAACUCUGUGCCAGCCGCCGCAGUAA
rnacentral:rRNA from 1 species